rnacentral:rRNA from 1 species
GAUGAACGCUGGCGGCGUGCUUAACACAUGCAAGUCGAACGAUGAAGCCCAGCUUGCUGGGUGGAUUAGUGGCGAACGGGUGAGUAACACGUGAGUAACCUGCCCUUAACUCUGGGAUAAGCCUGGGAAACUGGGUCUAAUACCGGAUAGGAGCGUCCACCGCAUGGUGGGUGUUGGAAAGAUUUAUCGGUUUUGGAUGGACUCGCGGCCUAUCAGCUUGUUGGUGAGGUAAUGGCUCACCAAGGCGACGACGGGUAGCCGGCCUGAGAGGGUGACCGGCCACACUGGGACUGAGACACGGCCCAGACCCCUACGGGAGGCAGCAGGGGGAAAUAUUGCACAAGGGGCGAAAGCCUGAUGCAGCGACGCCGGGUGGGGGAUGACGGCCUUCGGUUGUAAACCUCUUUCAGUAGGGAAGAAGCGAAAGUGACGGUACCUGCAGAAGAAGCACCGGCUAACUACGUG